GACGAACGCUGGCGGCGUGCCUAACACAUGCAAGUCACGGGGGGUAGCAAUACCAACCGGCGAACGGGUGCGGAACACGUGAGCAAUCUGCCGAUUACUGGGGGAUAGCCGGGCCAACGCCCGGGUAAUACCGCAUACGCUCAUUGGGGGACAUCCCCGAUGAGGAAACCUCCGGGGGUAAUCGAGGAGCUCGCGUCUUAUCAGCUAGUUGGCGGGGUAACGGCCCACCAAGGCUACGACGGGUAGCUGGCUGAGAGGAUGGCCAGCCACAUUGGGACUGCGACACGGCCCAGACUCCUACGGGAGGCAGCAGUAAGGAAUAUUGCGCAAUGGGCGAAAGCCUGACGCAGCGACGCCGCGUGGGGGAUGAAGGUCUUCGGAUUGUAAACCCCUUUCGGGAGGGAAGAUGGGAAUGGGGGUAACCCAUUCGGACGGUACCUCCAGAAGCAGCCACGGCUAACUUCGUGCCAGCCGCCGCGGUAAG
rnacentral:rRNA from 1 species